rnacentral:rRNA from 1 species
UACGUAGGGUGCAAGCGUUGUCCGGAAUUAUUGGGCGUAAAGAGCUCGUAGGCGGUUUGUCGCGUCUUCUGUGAAAACUCGGGGCUUAACCCCGGGCCUGCAGUGGGUACGGGCAGGCUAGAGUGCGGUAGGGGAGACUGGAAUUCCUGGUGUAGCGGUGAAAUGCGCAGAUAUCAGGAGGAACACCGGUGGCGAAGGCGGGUCUCUGGGCCGAAACUGACGCUGAGGAGCGAAAGCGUGGGGAGCGAACAGG